rnacentral:lncRNA from 1 species
AAAUCCCACUUCACCGGUAACUUAAAACUUGGUUUCGAUUGAUAACCCCAAUGUUCAUUGGUACUUUAAAUAUUAACCUUCAUCCCUUUAAAAAAACAAAAAAAAAUUGGUCCUACAUAGCACGUACAUAACGAAAGUUCAAUCAUACUUGGCACCUUCAUAACCCAAGCUCGAGCAUACAUCGACAUCUUGCAUAAGUAAUCAUCAUUACAUAACAUUGCAUCACUAAAAC